CGGCGGGGGGCGGGGGGUGGCGGGAGGUGGAGCCCCCUUCUCACCCGACGCCCCUGCCCGCCUCGCCUCCCGCGUGCUCCCUGGGCAAACCGCCGCGCCUGAGCUCAGGCCCCGCUGGUGCCUGCAUGGCCACCCCUGCCCCCGCUGCCAUCCAGACGCCCGCUGGCACGAAUGCCUGCAGGCCCUGAGACGACCUCUGCCCCCGACGCGGGGACGUGGGGCCCAGACUGGCGGCGCUCGUGGGCCCUGUGUUCCCCGCGCGGCUGCUCCUGUUUCUCAUCAGCACAGUGAGCGCGGUGUUCCGCGGACACCUGGGCAAGGUGGAGCUGUCUCGGUCUCUGGUCCGGGCUGACGGUCUUCCAAACCCUCUUCUACCUGGUGUACGUCUGGAGGAUCGACUGGAACCGUGCGGCAGAGCAGAUCUGUCCAACCUGGAGAAAGAAGCACUGGCUGGGGCCAUCCUGCUGGACCUCACCUGACCCAAGAGCCAGACUGCGCAGCUAAUCAGGGCAGCCCCUGCCAUGACGUCCUGAUGGGGACUCAGCUGACUGUGUUAGGGCCGAGCGGCUGCAGUUUUGGCUGUUGCUGUCCUCGCAGUGGGAAUUUUAAUAAGACUCUUCACUGACCAUGGCUGAAAUGGAAUCAUCCCAGCCCCAAACUACCAGUGAGAACAAUAUGCCACACGUGCCGCAUGGGAGGUGAGCUCUUCACCUGGACCGUGGCUUCGGUCCCAGCCGAGCAGGAAAGGGAUGCCAGCUUCAUGUUCUUAUUCUGAAGAUUCACAUGAUCAUCCUGGACAUCAAGAAAAGCAUUACAAUUUUAAGUGAACUUUUCUCCCAAAUGUUAACUCUUAUCGUGGUUUUUAAGUCUGCACGUUGGUGUCCCUGGCUGGCUGUGUUCUUUAUCCCACCUUACAUUUAACACCUUCUGUCUUCCAGGAGAGCAGGUCCUCUAGCAGUAACUGCUGGCCACGGUGUGUGUGUGGCACUCUUGUGUGUCCAGUCUCAUGUGUGAGUGUGCAUGAAGUCCUGUCUCGGGCAGUGCCAUGCAAGCUUUUAAAAAAUAAACAUUUAAAAAUACAUGCUCAGACUAAGUGGUAACUUGUAGCUUACUGC
ensembl:lncRNA